UAGGGAAUAUUGGUAAUGUGCGAAAGCGCGAACCAGCAACGCCGCGUGCACGAUGAAGGCCUUCGGGUCGUAAAGUGCUUUUAGAGAGGAUGAGGAAGGACAGUACUUUCUGAAUAAGCCUCGGCUAACUACGUGCCAGCAGCCGCGGUAAAACGUAGGAGGCUAGCGUUAUCCGGAUUUACUGGGCGUAAAGCGCGUGCAGGUGGUCUUGUAAGUUGGAUGUGAAAGCUCCUGGCUUAACUGGGAGAGGUCGUUCAAAACUGCAGGACUUAAGAUUGGUAGAGGGAGGUGGAAUUCCGGGUGUAGUGGUGAAAUGCGUAGAUAUCCGGAGGAACACCAGUGGCGAAAGCGGCCUCCUGGACCAAUUCUGACACUCAGACGCGAAAGCUAAGGUAGCAAACGG
rnacentral:rRNA from 1 species